CCUACGGGGGGCUGCAGUGGGGGAUAUUGCACAAUGGAGGAAACUCUGAUGCAGCAACGCCGCGUGAGGGAAGAAGGUCUUCGGAUUGUAAACCUCUGUCCUCAGGGACGAUAAUGACGGUACCUGCGGAGGAAGCUCCGGCUAACUACGUGCCAGCAGCCGCGGUAAUACGUAGGGAGCAAGCGUUGUCCGGAUUUACUGGGUGUAAAGGGUGCGUAGGCGGCCCUGCCAGUCAUGUGUGAAAACUAUGGGCUUAAUUCAUAGAUUGCACUUGAGACGGUGGGGCUUGAGUGAAGUAGAGCCAGGCGGAAUUCCCGGUGUAGCGGUGAACUGCGAAGAGAUCAGGAAGAACACCAGUGGCGACGGCGGCCUGCUAGGCUUUAACUGACACUGAGGCACGAACGCGUGGGUAGCAAACAGGAUUAGAUACCCUAGUAGUC
rnacentral:rRNA from 1 species